rnacentral:lncRNA from 1 species
GAACCCAUUCAUUACCAUAUCCAUUUCUAGUUAACCAAAUCCAUUUAACCAUUUUUUAACGGCUAUCCAAAUUCCAUAUCCCUCAAAACCACUUUUAUUCCAAUUUAAUCAUUAUCCAAUUUCAUAUCCAUUUUUUUUACCAUAAUCCAUUUUAUCCAAUACUCAACACAAAUCAUAUCCAAUUUAGUUUAUCCGUUUAAAACCAAUUGCCAUUAUCCAAUCAUACCCAUAUCCAUUUGUACAAAAACCAAAAUUCUGCAUUUUCAUAAACAAAAAUUCUGCAUUUAAACUCUUAACAAAAUUCUGCAUUAAACUUUUAACAAAAUUCUGCAUUGAAACAAAAUUCUGCACUAAAAAACUCUGCAUUGCAUUUUCAAAUUCUGCAUAAAAUUCUGCAUUGCAUUUAACAGCAACACAUCCAAAAUUCUGCAUAAAACAGCAUUAAAAUUCUGCAUCAUCAAAAUUCAGCAUUACAAAAAUUCUUUUCUGCAUAAAAUUCUGCAUAAAAUUCUGCAUCAUAAAAUUCAGCAUUAAAAUUCUGCAUCAAGUACAACCAAAAUCCUGCAUUAAAAUCAAAACAAAAUUCUGCAUAAAAUCAAAAUUAAUUUCCUGCAUAAUGAAAUAACAGAAAUCUUCAUUCUUGUAUGAGUAUAAAUAGUGCAAAGUCAU